GAUGAAGAACGCAGCGAAAUGCGAUACUUGGUGUGAAUUGCAGAAUCCCGUGAACCAUCGAGUCUUUGAACGCAAGUUGCGCCUCAAGCCAUUAGGUUGAGGGCACGUCUGCCUGGGCGUCACAUAUCGUUGCCUGAUGCCAGUUUCCUCGUGAUGGGUGACUGUGCAGGGCGAAUGAUGGCUUCCCGUGAGCAUUGUUGCCUCAUGGUUGGUUGAAAAUUGAGUCCUUGGUAGGGAGCGCCGUGAUAGAUGGUGGUUGAGUGACGAACGAGACCCAAUCAUGUGAGACCCCUACCGAAUUUGGCCUUCAUGACCCACAUGCGUCUUUGGAACGCUCAUGACGAGACCUCAGGUCAGGCGGGGCUACCCGCUGAGUUUAAGCAUAUCAAAUAAGCGGAGGA
rnacentral:misc_RNA from 1 species